AGUGAACGCUGGCGGCGUGCCUAAUACAUGCAAGUCGAACGGAGUGGCGCACGGGUGAGUAAUAUAUAGCUAACCUGCCCCUUGCUGGAGGACAACAGUGAGAAAUGAAUGCUAAUACUCCAUAGCAAGGGAUGGGACUAUAUCGUAUCAGCUAGUCGGUGGGGUAACGGCCUACCGAGGCUAUGACGCGUAACUGGGCUACGAGGAUGAUCAGUCAAAUUGGAACGGAGACACGGUCCAAACUCCUACGGGAGGCAGCAGUAGGGAAUAGUGCCCAAUGGGGGAGACCCUGACGCAGCAUCGCCGCGUGGAGGAUUACACUUUUCGUAGCGUAAACUCCUUUUUUUAGGGUAGCGGUACCUAACGAAUAAGCACCGGCUAACUCCGUGCCAGCCGCCGCGGUAAUUC
rnacentral:rRNA from 1 species